AGCAUGUGCUUUUCUUACUUGUAUACUCUUUAAUCCUUAAUCUUCAAUAAACCUCUAAAAAUAUAAUACUCCUUGCAGAGAGAAACUAAUUUCUACCUGCCUCAGUUCCCUAAAUUUUCAUCUUUACAGUCAGCAGCCAAAGAUCACCAUGAUGCUGGCUACUACAGAAGAGAAACCUGAUACAGGUAAAGACUUUGUUCUCUCUAAAGGAAAUUGGACAGGAAUCAUCUAUGAAGACAAGGAAAUGGACACUUGGAUUAAAGCAGACACUAAGCAGGUAUCAGGGAUCUGGAUUAAUGCUGGCACCUUAGAAUAUCAAAGAGGAUUUUUAUUUUUGGUCUUCCCUGUAUGCAAUAUUUUCCUUCUUUUUUUGGAACUUUAACAACACUUUUGUGCUUUUUGUCAAUAAGGUAAUAUUGUUUGAUGUGUGAUGUUGUCUGUCACUUGCUGUCUCAUGGCCCUUUGUCUCUCUGAAAAUAUAGAUAUAUCAUUUAAUGUUUAUUGUUACUUUUAUGAAUAUUAACAAAUUAUCUUCCCAAAGGCAUCUCCAGUACCUACUGAUGUCCCUGCUCUUGUGACUGAUUUUGUGAACUACAAACUUAAACAGAAAAGUUAUGAUAACCUAUUGGGUCCAGAAGAGAACUUCUUUGCAGGUGUAAUCUCACUAGAUCCUCUACAUUCAGCCAUGCACUCUGUUGGAGAUCAAUAUGAAUUCUUCUGUAACAACGUGACUCAGAGAAGUAUUUUAAUCAUACCACACAUGAGAUUUUUGAACAAGGGAUCACCUGGGAUCAUAUAGUGGGAUUUUUUCUAUUCCAAUGCUGCAUUUGGUCCUUGCUGUAUUGGUUCUACAACAAGUUCACAGAUCCAGCUAGUUAAGAACUGGAUGAUGACUUACAUAGAGACUAAGUUGAUGGACUGGAUCUACCAAAAUGGUGGAUGGGGCAGAUUUAUCAAUGUGGAAGAAGGAAGACAUCUGAAAGAAUUAAAUGCUGCAAGAUCAUGUUGACUGUGGGACUAUAUACUGUUAAUGAAACUUAUUAAUGUAUUAACAUAAGUGUGCCUGUUGACAUUAUCAUGUUACAUGUUGUGUCCUUUUUUAGACUGUAAGUGAUCCAGCAGAAAACUGGUAGCAGUUUUCUCUGGAUCAGAGGAGGGAUAAUGUAGGGGGAAAAGACCCCUAGUCCCUUAUAGUUGAUUGGAUUUUAGUGACAAUGAUGGGUUUAAGAUAAUCAGUAUUGUGAUUCUAAAGUGAUUAGUAUAAAUUCCAUUAUAAUCUUAAUACAAUCAGUAAAAUUCAUAAUUUUAUAAGGAUUUCUAACUAAAGCAUAAAAACUGCUUCCAACAGGAUAUCUAACUCCUCCCUAAGAUUGUACUUCCCUUUAUCAUAAGAUGCUGACUCUCCAGAUCUCAUGUCCAAAUAUGGCAUAUAACAUCAUGCCCCCUUUCCUGUUUGGAAAUAGUCAUCUCUUCCCCCAGAUCAUAUGAGAGAGAGGUAAUGGUCACUUGACUAAGUCAUUAGUCAAAGGACUCAUAUGGGCUUUCUGAAAUGAACUAACCAAUCAGCUUUGUAAUUGGGUAACUAUUUCUAAAAUAAGGUCUAUAUGAUGCUAUGUCUUGUGAUCUUGUAUGGAAGUAUUCAUUUUGUUAUAAAAAGCAGGUCUCAACCUCUGGUCAUUGUCUCUUGCCAGGGUCCAACAAUGUAAUACAUGCAAGAGAACACUUUUAUUGGAGGACUUGGCCCUCUUCCAAUAAAAUCUAACUUUCUACCUUGACUUGGAGAAAU
rnacentral:lncRNA from 1 species